CCUACGGGGGGCAGCAGUCGAGAAUCAUUCACAAUGGGGGAAACCCUGAUGGUGCGACGCCGCGUGGGGGAAUGAAGGUCUUCGGAUUGUAAACCCCUGUCAUGUGGGAGCAAAUUAAAAAGAUAGUACCACAAGAGGAAGAGACGGCUAACUCUGGGCAAGCAGCCGCGGUCAUACAGAGGUCUCAAGCGUUGUUCGGAAUCACUGGGCGUAAAGCGUGCGUAGGCUGUUUCGUAAGGCGUGUGUGAAAGGCGCGGGCUCAACCCGCGGACGGCACAUGAUACUGCGAGACUAGAGUAAUGGAGGGGGAACCGGAAUUCUCGGUGUAGCAGUGAAAUGCGUAGAUAUCGAGAGGAACACUCGUGGCGAAGGCGGGUUCCUGGACAUUAACUGACGCUGAGGCACGAAGGCCAGGGGAGCGAAAGGGAUUAGAUACCCCAGUAGUC
rnacentral:rRNA from 1 species